rnacentral:rRNA from 1 species
AUGGUUCGUAUUACGGCCAUGGACCAGCUGGAGGCGGAGGAGGUGGUGGUCAGGGCGCCGGCGGCGUCCGGCGGGGUGAGGAGGGCCGGGGAGCCGGAGAGGCUGGCGCAGUGCCCCUGCCCGCGCUGCGAGUCCACCGACACCAAGUUCUGCUACUACAACAACUACAACCUCUCGCAGCCGCGCCACUUCUGCAGGGGCUGCCGCCGCUACUGGACGCGCGGGGGCGCGCUCCGCAACGUGCCCGUCGGCGGCGGCACGCGCAAGCCCAACGGCAGCCCCGCCGCCGUCCGCCGCAAGCGCCCCUCCCACUCCCACUCCCACUCCCACCACGCCGUCCCCGCCGCCGCCGCCUCUCAGGCCGCGCCGGUCGUCCCGCUCUCGGUCUCCGCGCCCGCGCCGCUCCCGCUGCCGCUGCUCCAGCCGCAGCCGCAGCCGCAGCCGCAGCAGUACGAGCUGACCUUCCUGCCGGCGUCCCUUUCGGCGGUGGACCCCGACCGCCGCCUGCUCGACCUCGGCGGCAGCUUCAGCUCCCUGCUCGCGCCGCCCGCGCCGCUGCUGCCCAACUUCGCCACCAGCUUCGUGUUCGGCGGCGCCGGCGCGGGGAUGGCAAUGGCCCACGCUCACGUCCCUGCUCUGCCGCAGCCGGCGCCGGUGGCAUCCCAGGCGCUGCCGGAGAGCUUCUGGGGCAUGGGGUGGCCGGACCUGUCCAUCUAG